rnacentral:lncRNA from 1 species
AUACUACUACGACUUUUGUCUGAAAUAUGAAAUAGAAAGGAGAUAGUAAAUAAAUAAGAUGGGGACUUCGUGUGCUACGGGGCUUAACAUGGAAUGCAAGUAACCACAAUGUCUCCUCAACAGUAGCGCCUAUGCGCCAAGAUGACCACCAAAUGUACGUGGCUCAGUAUCUACAAAAUUAGUGCAGAAAUAUAUUAUGAAUAUAUAAAUCAAUGCGUACCUAGUAAGUAUCUAGCCUAACCCCGAAGAAGUGGUGAUGGAGGAUCGACAUUGACACUUAUUAGUGGUCCAAUAAAUCAAGUACAACAAAAGUAGACAGGUAUGAAGAAUCGCAAGUAAAAGAGUGAAGACAAUAUAUGUACAUAAAAACAAAAGAAUCGCAAGUAAAAUAGUGAAGACAGAUAUAUGUACAUAAAAACAAUUUUCAACAAAAGAAAAAACACAAAAGUUCUCAAAUAUCAAAUAUUAUCGUGAGUGAAAUAUAUUUCAGGUCAAUAACAGCUAAAAUAUCACGUCUCAAUUCAAAUAAAACUAAUAGAUAUGUUGACUCCUAAUCGAAAAUCAUGUACGAUUCUACCGAGGUGAAUGGCCCGUUCCCAUAAGAGUGAUGAUCGGAUAUCCUAUCGUGGUGUAGGGGCCGGUCUUAUAAGAACAACGUACUUUGUUGAAGCAAACGAAUCGAUCCCAUAAGAAUAUAUUAUAUGAUACUUCAAGGUAAACAGCUGGAUCCUAUAAGAAAAUACUACAUGACACUUUCCAGGUGAACGACACAAUCUCAUAAGAGUGUAAUACAUAAUAUUUCCUAGGCGAACAACCCCAUCCUAUUAGAGUACUGUUGAGUCACUCAACUCGAUUCCUUUAGAAUAUAAAACUUUGACGGGUCACUGACCUCUCUUACAAAUAUACGUGCGAGUUGUAAAAUUUAAGAAAACUUUCUGAUGAAUAUACAUAACACAAAAGAAAUCCAUAAAAUGAGGUAUAAUUUCCACGACUAAUGAAGUAGAUCAUCACGUAUCUGAAAUAACAAGUCCGGUACUUAACGCCCGACUGAUCUCAUGUUAAAAUGUAAUUUAAGGCUUUUAAAACAUGCAAGGACAACUCAAGCACUAUAGUUAAACAUGGUAUGAGCCUAAAUCUUCCCAUACAUGAAUAAGAAUCUAGCAUACGCGCGGACACUCAUCACUCGAUACGUGUGUAGCUCCCAUAAUACAUAGCACGUAACAAAUAUAGCAUCUACAGGGUAAUUCCCCCUCAAAAGGUUAGACAGAAGACUUAACUUGAUAUGAAAUUCAACAAUCGGCUCCAAUGCCUCUCUAGCACCUCAAACAAAUGCCAAACAACCCGAACUAGUCAAAUUAUAUGCAAAUCCAUCAAAAUUUACUCAAAGACUUGUAAUUUAAACAUUUAAAAAUAAUUUACAACUCCACACGAAAAGUCGUCAAAGUCAACCCCCAAGAUCACGCACCCGGAUUUCAAAAAUUCUCAAAGAUAAAUACUACCCAUAACACCACGAACUCAAAUAUAUAAUUUAUUCCAAAUUUUAUGUCCAAAUUUGUGGUCAAAAUUCAAAACAAUAUUCCUAGGUUUUCUUCAUAAAUUCCCCAAUUUUACCAAUUUUCAUGUCAAAAAUCCAUACAUGUUCACAAAAAAUAACGAAAAGUGGAUAAGAAAUACUUACCCUCAACUGGUGGAUGAAACAGAUGUCCAAACUCAC